CAGUCGAACGAGAGAAGAGAAGCUUGCUUUUCUGAUCUAGUGGCGGACGGGUGAGUCACACGUGAGCAAUCUGCCUUUCAGAGGGGGAUACCGAUUGGAAACGAUCGUUAAUACCGCAUAACAUAAUUGAACUGCAUGAUUUGAUUAUCAAAGAUUUAUCGCUGAAAGAUGAGCUCGCGUCUGAUUAGCUAGUUGGUAAGGUAACGGCUUACCAAGGCGACGAUCAGUAGCCGGACUGAGAGGUUGAUCGGCCACAUUGGGACUGAGACACGGCCCAGACUCCUACGGGAGGCAGCAGUGGGGAAUAUUGCACAAUGGAGGAAACUCUGAUGCAGCGAUGCCGCGUGAGGGAAGAAGGUUUUAGGAUUGUAAACCUCUGUCUUCAGGGACGAAAAAAAAGACGGUACCUGAGGAGGAAGCUCCGGCUAACUAAGUGCCAGCAGCCGCGGUAAUACGUAGGGAGCGAGCGUUGUCCGGAAUUACUGGGUGUAAAGGGAGCGUAGGCGGGAUCGCAAGUCAGAUGUGAAAACUAUGGGCUUAACCCAUAAACUGCAUUUGAAACUGUGGUUCUUGAGUGAAGUAGAGGUAAGCGGAAUUCCUAGUGUAGCGGUGAAAUGCGUAGAUAUUAGGAGGAACACCAGUGGCGAAGGCGGCUUACUGGACGAUAACUGACGCUGAGGCUCGAAAGCGUGGGGAGCAAACA
rnacentral:rRNA from 1 species